GACAGAGGGUGCAAACGUUGUUCGGAAUUACUGGGCGUAAAGCGAGUGUAGGCGGUCUUGUAAGUCGGAUGUGAAAGCCCUGGGCUCAACCCAGGAAGUGCACUCGAUACUGCGAGGCUAGAGUAUCGGAGAGGUUGGUGGAAUUCUCGGUGUAGAGGUGAAAUUCGUAGAUAUCGAGAGGAACACCGGUGGCGAAGGCGGCCAACUGGACGAAUACUGACGCUGAG
rnacentral:rRNA from 1 species